UACGAAGGGUGCAAACGUUGCUCGGAAUCAUUGGGCGUAAAGCGCACGUAGGCGGCUCACCAAGUCGGACGUGAAAUCCCUCGGCUUAACCGGGGAACUGCGUCUGAUACUGGAUGGCUCGAGUUCGGGAGAGGGAUGCGGAAUUCCAGGUGUAGCGGUGAAAUGCGUAGAUAUCUGGAGGAACACCGGUGGCGAAGGCGACUCACUGGACGACUGUUGACGCUGAGGAGCGAAAGCGUGGGGAGCAAACAGG
rnacentral:rRNA from 1 species